rnacentral:rRNA from 1 species
GCCGGUGAUUAUUGCGAAAGUGUUAUACCCGAUUCCAUUCCGAACUCGGAAGUCAAGCCUUUCUGCGCCGAUGGUACUUUGUCUUAAGAUAUGGAAGAGUAGGACAUCGCCGGCU